rnacentral:rRNA from 1 species
UACGAAGGGGGCUAGCGUUGUUCGGAAUUACUGGGCGUAAAGCGUGCGCAGGCGGCUUCUUAAGUCAGGGGUGAAAUCCUGGAGCUCAACUCCAGAACUGCCUUUGAUACUGAGGAGCUUGAGUCCGGGAGAGGUGAGUGGAACUGCGAGUGUAGAGGUGAAAUUCGUAGAUAUUCGCAAGAACACCAGUGGCGAAGGCGGCUCACUGGCCCGGUACUGACGCUGAGGUGCGAAAGCGUGGGGAGCAAACAGG